rnacentral:lncRNA from 1 species
GGGGAAUACCUGGCGUCCAUGAGUCCCAUAGUAGGUCUCUAGUUGGUUGCGAUAGUCCCUUGACAUACCAGUCUCCCCUGGAAGACACCAAUCUACCAACUCCAGAUGCUCCUGCAUUCUCAAUGGAUGAUGUUCUCCUUUUGGAUCCGCCCGAAGGCAAGUUAAAACGGAAGGAGCAGAGGAUGAUCCUGAUUAAGGACAACCCUUCUGGGUGUCACGCUUGCCUCCUUUACCGCAGUAAUGAGUACUAUCGAAGUCUUCGCUAUUCUGAUCCCAAUUUCAUAGGUGUGUCCAUAUCUCAGGCAGUGAGCUUUCAG